UCAUGCUGGGAAAAGGAAAGGGAAGACUCUAGAGUCCCUGAGGAGACAGUACUAGACUACAGACAUAUGUAAGUAGUGAGCCUUGCUCCUGUCUCUACCGGGACACAGACUGCACCAAGCUCUUGGAAGUCGCAGCUUCACAGGCAACCAGGUCACGGAACAAAUAGCCAGGCUAAAGGCAGAGAAUCCAGGAGUCUGGCAAAGACAGACAUUUUUCCUGGAUGCAUCACUAAAUUAGAAUUACACAGCUGCCUCUUAUUAUUAAAAGCACCCUCCCCCUCACUCCCUGAAUAAAUGCGUGUUCUGACAUUAAAACAAGACACUACACAAGAAGAGCCUGGAAGCCAGAAUGCCGCCAGCUUUGUAUGCCAGAUGUGAUUACGGAGUGACAGCGAACAAUCCUGCAAUCAGCCCAUUGGUUAGCCAGAAACCGUGGACACUCAAGAGAUCUACAAGGAUUCAGAAAUCAUAACAGACUCUCAAGAAAAUCAUCUCAGACAGACAAAAAUAUAGCUAUUUACAUAUACAUUAGUAAGAGUGAGGCAGAGGAAGAUUUGAUAUGCGCAGAAUAGGAGAGAGCAAUGUGAAGAUGGUGGCAGCGAUUGGACUGACGAAGCCACCAGAAGCUGGAAGACGUAAGGAUCCGAUUCUCCCCUGGAGCAUCUGGAGGAAGCAAGGUCCUGUCAACAUUCUGCAUUUAGCCCAUUGAAAUGAACAUUGAACAGAAUCCUGGCCCCUAGCACUAGUAGAGAAUAAAGUUAUGUUGUUUUAAGCCA